rnacentral:rRNA from 1 species
AGGACGACGCUGGCGGCGUGCUUAAUACAUGCAAGUCGAGCGAGGCCUUGGAAUUGGAGUCCUUCGGGAUGAAGAGUCCUUGGCCUAGCGGCGGACGGGUGAGUAACGCGUGGGCAACCUACCCCAAAGUCCGGGAUAACAGUGGGAAACCGCUGCUAAUACCGGAUGGCUUUACCUGAGGGCAUCCUUGGGUAAAGAAAGGUUACGCUUUGGGAUGGGCCCGCGUCCCAUUAGCUAGUUGGUGAGGUAACGGCUCACCAAGGCGACGAUGGGUAGCCGGCCUGAGAGGGUGAACGGCCACACUGGGACUGAGACACGGCCCAGACUCCUACGGGAGGCAGCAGUAGGGAAUAUUGCGCAAUGGGCGGAAGCCUGACGCAGCGACGCCGCGUGAGCGAAGAAGGCCUUCGGGUCGUAAAGCUCUGUCCUUGGGGAAGAAGGCGAAAGCUUGACGGUACCCAAGAAGAAAGCCCCGGCUAACUACGUG